GCAAUGACGAGCCCGCCAAUUUCAUGGUGUCUCAUUGUCAGCCAUGUUGGACUUUCCAGCAGACGACACGCAGUGAGCGCUGCUUUCGUGAGGGUCAAUGAAAAGGAAUCGCUGUGCAGUAGCAAACUCUGUGAAAAAUAUGCAGUGACCACACCGGGCUCUCUCGUCUAAUUGGUGACUCAUGCAAAUACCUUAAUUCGGAAGACUCAUCGCUUACUCGAGACGUUCCGAUAUCGGUGAGGGAUUCUCGAAUAUCACAGCGAGCGGCACACUAUAAGGGUCCCGC
rnacentral:lncRNA from 1 species